rnacentral:rRNA from 1 species
UACGUAGGGAGCAAGCGUUGUCCGGAAUCAUUGGGCGUAAAGCGCGCGUAGGCGGCCCUGUAAGUCCGUUGUGAAAGUCAAAGGCUCAACCUUUGAAAGCCGAUGGAUACUGCAGGGCUAGAGUCCGGAAGAGGCGAGUGGAAUUCCUGGUGUAGCGGUGGAAUGCGCAGAUAUCAGGAGGAACACCAAUAGCGAAGGCAGCUCGCUGGGACGGUACUGACGCUAAGGCGCGAA